rnacentral:tRNA from 1 species
GCGGCUGUGAUCUAGUCUGGUUAGGAUCGAAGCUUCCCAAGCUUCUUGCUCGGGUUCGAAUGCCCGUGGCGGGCUCGGAAAUCCCGGCAGCCGCA